CCCAAUCAAACUGGUGGCAUGUGUCCAUCUGGAUUUCAGUGUUAAUAUGGACCAGUGACUGCUGUGUUUCUCUCCUUCUCCCCCUUUUGGAAUUAGAGUGUUUAUUUCAGUUAUCCUACCCCUGUAUCAUCACUGUAUAUUGCGUCUGUCAGGGUAGGUGAAUUCUCCUUAGUUCCAAGACUUUUAGAUUAAUAGGAACUGUAACCAAGGAACCAAGUCCAUGGAGCCACCUCCACUCCUGGACCUGAUUUAGAUAAGAUCCUUUACCUGGAGCCUGAACCUCACACCCUAGUGAAUAACACUUUGGGAAAUGUUUGGGAAAGAGACAGCAUUUUUGGCAAGUGGAGGGAGAGAAAUAAUUUGUGGCCAAAGGGCACAAUAGGGUGGCUUUUAAAACACGCCAACAUUUGUUGACCUUUUUCUCAUAGAGGUGAACCACACCUGGUUCUCUGGGGACAUUUGCUCUGGGGGAAGCCAGCUACCAUGUAAGAAGCCCAAUUUCCCUGGGACUGAUUGUAAAGGCCAGAGGUAGGCCUUCUGAAGGGAAGCCUUACUGAGCUCUCAGCCACCGGCCAGCCACAAUGAGCAGUCACAUGAGUGAAUGACUUGGAAGUCCAGCUCUGUUCAGCAUGCUGAUGUCUGACAUUUGCCUGCAACUGCAUGAAAGAUUCCAAAAGUUGCAAGUCACUCAAGGGAAAGCAGAAUUCAAGAAGUGGAUGUCACAAAGCCGACACUGAAAGUGUAAUACUUGGUACCAACCAGGUUUUUGAAGCCAUCAAUGAAGAAAACCCAGACACAGCAUUUGAACUGACACAGACACACACACCCCCCAAAACAAACUUCUGAGGAGCAAAACAAAAUAAGUCCACUCUAGUUUGAAAUUUCUUAAUUAAGGGGUUAUUCACAUAAAUUUUCACAUGCUUACCUUAACAUUUUAU
rnacentral:lncRNA from 1 species